CAGCAGUAGGGAAUCUUCCACAAUGGGCGAAAGCCUGAUGGAGCAACGCCGCGUGUGUGAUGAAGGGUUUCGGCUCGUAAAACACUGUUGUAAGAGAAGAAUGACAUUGAGAGUAACUGUUCAAUGUGUGACGGUAUCUUACCAGAAAGGAACGGCUAAAUACGUGCCAGCAGCCGCGGUAAUACGUAUGUUCCAAGCGUUAUCCGGAUUUAUUGGGCGUAAAGCGAGCGCAGACGGUUAUUUAAGUCUGAAGUGAAAGCCCUCGGCUUAACCGAGGAAUUGCUUUGGAAACUGGAUAACUUGAGUGCAGUAGAGGAAAGUGGAACUCCAUGUGUAGCGGUGAAAUGCGUAGAUAUAUGGAAGAACACCAGUGGCGAAGGCGGCUUUCUGGACUGUAACUGACGUUGAGGCUCGAAAGUGUGGGUAGCAAACAGGAUUAGA
rnacentral:rRNA from 1 species